AAUUUUUCAGUACGAUACGAUAGAGAAGAUCCUAGAGAGAGAAGAGAAGCUAAAUGAUUUAGUGGAGAAAUCUGAGGGACUCAGCAUGCAGUCUAAAGCUUUUUAUAAAACAGCAAGGAAGACUAACUCCUGUUGUGUUAUCUUAUGAGUGUAAUGAUGUACUAUAUGCGUUGUAUUUAUUAAGAAGGGAAGUCAGCAAGAAAAAGGUGCAACUGAUGUUGAGAUUUCUAAGAUGGACCAAUUUUUUUAUCCUCUUCAAUUUUUAAUGCUUGUCCAAGUGCAAUCAUGUGUUUGUCAAACAUGUAUUUAUUUUCACAUUGAAAAUAUGACAAGGUGUGAUGUUUAAGUUUGAGUGUAAAUGAGGAAUAUUUAAUUAGAAAAAAGAAAUAGUUGUAUUGUAAGGCAUUAUUUUAUUUUAAGACUUGAAAGUGACCCACAGAGUGAAUAUGUCAUAUCUUUGAACUGUGUCUCGAUUUUAAAUAGAAUGGUUCAAUCUUAGCUCCUAUUUGAAGUGCAUUAAAAAAUGUUUUUUAAUGCUCUGUAAAAUUCACUUAGUGUCACUGUUGAUCCCAUUUAAUAGUUUUAUAUAGCAUUGUGUAUUGGUUUAUUUAGAAAAGAAUUUUUUAAAUUCUUUUCUGUAUCAUCAAAUGUGAAUAUUGGUUCAGUCCAAAUUUAUGUUACUUAACUCAAGGAUUUUUUUUUUUUUUUUUUUUUGGAAAGAGAAAUUGCAGAUUUCCAUGCUGACAAUCUUAUUUACCCUUUUCAUGAUUUGUUAUAUCUACACAUCUGAAUGAUAGCUUUGAAUACCAUAUUUAUCUACAAUACACUCACGUAUCUUCAUUGAAGAGUAUUUUCAUUGUGAAUUUAGAACACAUGCUCUAUUUGUAAAUAAGAUAAUAUCCUCAACAUGCCAAACACUGUUAUUUUAUGGUAGCUGUAAUUCUUGACAAGUAAAGUUCAUGUACAAGGUGCUUUUUUGUCAUGAUAUAUUUUUGCUUUGCAUGGUAUUUUUAUAUAGAAUUUUAUGAAUAUGCCUUUACCACUAUUUCUUUAAGGUGUUCUAAUGCUCUGAAAAUGCAUCUUUACAUUGUCAUCAAUUAACGUUUGUAUUUUUUCACUGAUUUUAUUGAUUACUAUGACUUUUAAAAUAUUGUAAUUUUAUGUUGUUGGUAAGACAGGAGAUAGAGUUUAAACAAGUUUGAUUUUCUAUUUUCUCUCUACUUUCUUUCCUGUAGUUCCGGCAUUGAGGAAUGCAGUUACAUGUAUGUAUCGUAUUAAGAGAGGGGAAAUUUCUCCACUUUCCUAAACUAUCAAGAAAUUUAAUUCUCAAUAUUUAUCCACAAUGAGGUGACACAUUCCACUUUUUCACCUUAAAUAAUGAAAUAUUUGAUCAUACCUAGUCAAAGAAGAUCAUUUCAACCCUUGUGUUGUGUGGAGGUAGUGUUGCAUAUAUGUUUGUAAUGGUGUGCAAAGUUGAAUGUUGUUUCUAAAUCUAUUUAAAGAAUAAUAUUUUAAUGAUCAGUUUAUAAGCAAUUUGCUUCUAUCCAUUCUCCAACAAAAUUUCAACAUUCACACAAUGCCAGUAUCCCACAGUAUUUUCUUUCCAUUUUUAGUUGUAGACAAUAACUUGUAAAGGGUUGUCACAGUUAAUGAUUUUAAACUGAACUGUGACACGUAUUGUUUGAAUUGGGUGAUGAAACAAUUUGUUUAUAUGUAAAUAUAAUAAAAAUAUAUGUGAAUGUAAAAUUGAAUGAAUGUAAGAAACAAGAAUAAAAUAUGGAGUACAUUGUAAAA